UUCCGGUUGAUCCUGCCGGAAGUUACUGCUAUCGGUGUUUGACUAAGCCAUGCGAGUCAAAUGUUCUUCGUGAACAUGGCGUAAUGCUCAGUAACACGUGGAUAACCUGCCCUUAGGUCCGGCAUAAUCUCGGGAAACUGAGGAUAAUUCCGGAUAGCUCUUUUUGGCCGGAAAUGCAUUAAGAGUAAAAGUAUCUCGCCUAAGGAUGGGUCUGCGGCCUAUCAGGUAGUAGAGGGUGUAACGCACCUUCCAGCCGACAACGGGUACGGGUUGUGAGAGCAAGAGCCCGGAGAUGGAUUCUGAGACAUGAAUCCAGGCCCUACGGGGCGCAGCAGGCGCGAAAACUUUACAAUGCAGGAAACUGUGAUAAGGAAACACCGAGUGCCCGCAUCUAAUGCGGGCUGUCCGCGUACCCAAAUCGUACGCGUCAGCAAGGACCGGGCAAUACCGGUGCCAGCCGCCGCGGUAAUACCGGUGGUCCGAGUGGUAGCCGCUUUUAUUUGGUCUAAAGGGUCCGUAGCCGGUCCGGUCAGCCCAUUGGUAAAUCCGCGCGCUCAACACGCGGUCUUCAGUGGAUACUUCCGGACUUGGGACCGGGAGAGGUAAGAGGUACUAUAGGGGUAGGAGUGAAAUCCUGUAAUCCUUAUGAGACCACCUGUGGCGAAGGCGUCUUACCGGAACGGGUCCGACGGUGAGGGACGAAAGCUGGGGGCGCGAACCGGAUUAGAUACCCGGGUAGUCCGAGCCGUAAACUAUGCCCGCUGGGUGUCAGGCAUGGCAUGACUGUGUCCGGUGCCGUAGAGAAGUCGUGAAGCGGGCCACCUGGGAAGUACGGCCGCAAGGCUGAAACUUAAAGGAAUUGGCGGGGGAGCACUACAACGGGUGGAGCCUGCGGUUUAAUUGGACUCAACGCCGGAAAACUCACCAGGGGAGACAGCAAUAUGUAGGUCAGGCUGAAGGUCUUACCUGAAUCGCUGAGAGGAGGUGCAUGGUCGUCGCCAGUUCGUACUGUGAAGCAUCCUGUUAAGUCAGGCAACGAGCGAGACCCU
rnacentral:rRNA from 1 species